rnacentral:rRNA from 1 species
UACGUAGGGUGCGAGCGUUGUCCGGAAUCAUUGGGCGUAAAGAGCUCGUAGGCGGCUUGUCACGUCGACUGUGAAAACCCGGGGCUCAACUCCGGGCCUGCAGUCGAUACGGGCAGACUAGAGGUAUGCAGGGGAGAACGGAAUUCCUGGUGUAGCGGUGAAAUGCGCAGAUAUCAGGAGGAACACCGGUGGCGAAGGCGGUUCUCUGGGCACUACCUGACGCUGAGGAGCGAAAGUGUGGGGAGCGAACAGG